GAUGAACGCUGGCGGCGUGCUUAACACAUGCAAGUCGAGCGAAAAGACGCGGCGCUUGCUCGGCGGACGUUAGCCGAGGACGUGUGAGUAACGCGAGGAUCCCCUACUUGAAAGUGUGAGAUCAUUAGGGAAAUGGGGAGAUAAUACGAGAGAAGAUAUUGAACCACAUGGUGCAAUGGUGAGUGACGGUGUUGCUGUCUCUAAUAGAUGGAUCCGCGCCGGAUUGGCUAGUUGGUAAGGUAAAGGCUUACCAAGGCUACGAUGCGUGGCCGAGCUGAGAGGAUGAUCGGCCACACUGGAACUGAGACACGGACCAGACUCCUACGGGAGGCAGCAGUAGGGAAUGUUGGACAAUGGGCGAAAGCCUGACCCAGCAACGCCGCGUGCGUGACGAAGGCCUUCGGAUCGUAAACCUCUUUUAUAAGGGACGAACCGCUUUGGGAUGAGACAUGGAGGUAAUGACGGUACCGAAUCAAUAAGCACCGGCUAACUACGUG
rnacentral:rRNA from 1 species